GAUGAACGCUGGGCGGCGUGCCUAACACAUGCAAGUCGAACGGGGUUACACGAGUAGCAAUACUUGUGCAACCUAGUGGCGGACGGGUGAGUAACGCGUGAGCAACCUACCUUCCAGGAGGGGAUAACACGAAGGGAAACCUGUGCUAAUACCGCAUAAAGUACAGUGGGGGCAUCCCUGCAGUACCAAAGGAGCAAUCCGCUGGGAGAUGGGCUCGCGUCCGAUUAGGUAGUUGGUGGGGUAACGGCUCACCAAGCCGACGAUCGGUAGCCGGACUGAGAGGUUGGCCGGCCACAUUGGGACUGAGACACGGCCCAGACUCCUACGGGAGGCAGCAGUGAGGAAUAUUGGGCAAUGGGCGGAAGCCUGACCCAGCGACGCCGCGUGAGGGAAGACGGCCUUCGGGUUGUAAACCUCAGUUAUGCGGGACGAAGGAAGUGACGGUACCGUAAGAGAAAGCCACGGCUAACUACGUG
rnacentral:rRNA from 1 species